AAGCAACACUCUGUGUCAGAUGAUCGAAGUUGUCUGAUGCAAUUUGAGCUUGCUAUAGCAAGAAAGUCUAACCUAUUCCAGUGGUCUCUUCCAUGAGACCGACUGUUAUAUAGACUUAAACAGC
ensembl:snoRNA